AAGAUAUUAUCAUGUAUGGUUUGUACUAUAUAAAUUAAUAAUUCUUUUUUUUUCUUUCUUCUUUCUCUAAUUUAAAAAUAAUAAAAAAUCAGUUCUCUCUCGUCUUUUCUUCUCCCUCUAUUUUCACAAUGGACGACAAGUCACCUCUACGCAUACCACCGCUGCCGUUUGGCUGUGUUUCGCCUGAAAUCAUCAACAUUUAAUUUCUCUCAUGCUCAGAGGAUUUAAAAAAUUCAGAUUAGAGAGAUUUUAAAAAUUCCCACCGCCAUUUUCACUCUUAUUUUCCGGCCACCAUGGGUCGCGUAUGGAUAAACC
rnacentral:lncRNA from 1 species